GAGAGACGCUGGCGGCGUGGAUUAGGCAUGCAAGUCGAACGGUAUCAUCCUUUCGGGGGUGAGAGAGUGGCGAACUGGUGAGUAACACGUAGGUUAUCUACCCUCAAGACGGGGACAACCCAGGGAAACUUGGGCUAAUACCGGAUGUGAGCAACUUUUAGUUGUUUGAAAGGUGGCGUAAGCUGUCGCUUGGGGAUGAGCCUGCGUCCUAUUAGUUAGUUGGUGAGGUAACGGCUCACCUAGGCAAUGAUAGGUAGGCGGCCUUAACGGGUGGUCGCCCACACUGGGAUUGAGAUACGGCCCAGACUCCUACGGGAGGCAGCAGUCGAGAAUAGUCUACAAUGGUCGGAAGACUGAUAGUGCGACGCCGCGUGAACGAUGAAUCCCUUCGGGGUGUAAAGUUCUUUUAUAUGUGAGCAGUGCUUCUUAUAUUAACAGUAUGGGGAGAGAGAUAUUAGCAUAUGAAUAAGCAACGGCUAACUCCGUG
rnacentral:rRNA from 1 species